rnacentral:ncRNA from 2 species
GGAACCCGGUGCAAAUCCGGGGCGGUUCCGCCACUGUGAGGGGCUGGGCGUUGACCGCAAGCGCGGCGAAGCCGGGCGCAGCAGGUCAGCGCCAUCAGUACAGCCCCGAGCCAGAUAC